UACGUAGGGGGCAAGCGUUGUCCGGAAUCAUUGGGCGUAAAGAGCGCGUAGGCGGCCCAGUAAGUCCGCUCUGAAAGUCAGGGGCUCAACCCCUGAAUGCGGGGUGGAUACUCGCUGGGCUAGAGUCCGGAAGAGGCGAGUGGAAUCCUGGUGUAGCGGUGAAAUGCGCAGAUAUCAAGGAGGAACACCGGUGGCGAAGGCGGGUCUCUGGGCCGAUACUGACGCUGAGGAGCGAAAGCGUGGGGAGCGAACAGGAUAGAAACCCCGG
rnacentral:rRNA from 1 species